GUGCUCACUUCAGCAGCACAUAUACUAAAAAUUGGAAUACUGCAAAGAAGAUUAGCAUGGCCCCUGCACAAAAAAAAUAUAAAAGAAUAAAAUAAAAAGAUUCUU